rnacentral:rRNA from 1 species
GAUGAACGCUAGCUACAGGCUUAACACAUGCAAGUCGAGGGGCAGCAGGAUCUAGCAAUAGAUUGCUGGCGACCGGCGCACGGGUGAGUAACACGUAUCCAACCUGCCGAUAACUCGGGGAUAGCCUUUCGAAAGAAAGAUUAAUACCCGAUGGUAUAAUCAGACCGCAUGGUCUUGUUAUUAAAGAAUUUCGGUUAUCGAUGGGGAUGCGUUCCAUUAGGCAGUUGGCGGGGUAACGGCCCACCAAACCUACGAUGGAUAGGGGUUCUGAGAGGAAGGUCCCCCACAUUGGACUGAGACACGGUCCAA